rnacentral:rRNA from 1 species
UACGGGGGGGCAAGCGUUGUUCGGAAUUACUGGGCGUAAAGGGUCUGUAGGUGGCCAACUAAGUCAGACGUGAAAUCCCUCAGCUUAACUGGGGAACUGCGUCUGAUACUGGAUGGCUUGAGUGCAGGAGAGGAACGCGGAAUUCCAGGUGUAGCGGUGAAAUGCGUAGAUAUCUGGAGGAACACCGGUGGCGAAGGCGGCAUCCUGGACCGAAAUUGACGCUGAGGCGCGAAAGCCAGGGGAGCAAACGGG